CAAGCUUAAUACACUGUAUGGCAAAAAAAACGCUCUCUCUCUUAAAAACUUGAAUUCCAAACUAAACAAAAUACACUGUAUCGUCCGAAAACGUGUCAGAAUUUCAAACUCAGAUAUUAAUCUUGUACAUCUCCACCAACGGAAGUAAAUCCCUUCAUCAAACAAAGAACCGGAAGAAGAGAAAAAAGAAGAAGGUAAAGGCACCUAUAUGUUUCGUUUUUCCGCUAGAAAUUUGUAGUGCAUUAUGUUUUUGACACGGAGCAUGAAUCUCUUUGCUAUGUUUCUGAACAAGGAAACCCAUCAAAUUAUUUAACAUGCAAAGUUUUACAAACAACGAUAAUCUUCCUAUUCAUGCGCUGAUCUUUGGGAAGUUUGAAGAGGGAAGCAAGUUAUCUUUGUGAGAGGGAAGCAAAAGACACUAAAUCACAAACAACAAAAAUCUUUCAUAUUCUCAAAAACUGAACUUUUUCUUCUUUUUGUUUUCUUGUUUUUGAUGGGUGUUUUUUUCACAUAAAAACUUGAACUUGAUAUUCUCUGUUUGUUGCAAAAAGAGGGUAUUUGAGUCUGGUUGCCGAGAAAGAUCAUCUACGGCUGAAGAUGAAGAUGAUGCCCACAACACUGAGAUCAUCCUGGCCAUUAAUCAUGCCCUCAUCAUGCCAAACUUAUAGUAGUAUACCCUAUAUGCUUAAACAAAAGAUGGAACAAAUCGAUUAGCUCAAUACAAUUCUUUUGUUGCAAGGUAUUGACAGCGUUAUACAUCAUUCAUGGUUUCAAUGACGCUGCGGUUGGCCGUGAAGUGGGUUGUGAGACGCACUCAUAAGGAUUCUUUUGUAGCUAUAGCCAUGGUAGGUUUUGAUCAUGAAAUGGUGAGGUUUGUAAAGACUUACUUAAAACAAAGGAUGGAGCAUAUCAUUGGCUCAUAUAUAGCUCUUAUUUUCAAAGUGACAGCUGAAUGAUAAUGAUUUGCAGUAUUACAAAAAACAUUGACGUCACAGAUUGGAAAACAUGAUCAAACUCAUCAUUGCGAUGAACCCAUAGGCCAAUCAAGUUUGUGUAUGUGUUUAGUUUAUUGAAUUUUUUUGAUCUAUUAAUCACUAACUGGAAUUUUGAUUAGGGAGGGAUUAAUUAGUUGUUUGAUACACAAAUAUGUGGUUAAGUGGUUCAUCUUCAAAAGCCAAAAAUUGAUAACUCAUCUGCUCCCUCGUUAUUAA